GGAGAGGGUGUGGCUAGCAGAAGAUCGUUUUUAUAAUAAAUCUUUUGUAAUAUCUGCUCCAUCAUCACAUCAGAAUAGUCCGUUAUUACAUCACAAGCCACGCCCUUUUACCAAGUCAUUGACUCCGCCUCCUCACCAGUUGCCAUAUAUAUAUGUCAUCUCAAGUGGGCGUGGCAGGACGUCACAUGAUUAAAGUACAUGAUGAUGUAUCUGAUAAUAGUUCUAUUGAUUCGUUGUUGUCUCCAUCAUCUCCUGUUAAUAAUAAACAAUGGACUAACAAGAAGAAUAAAUCACUCAUUAAUUAUAUUAAUAGAGAAGCUGGUCAUUCUCAGGAUUCUGGUGUACUGGUUGAACUGUGCGGACAUAUUUAAAUAUUUUUAUCAUCUCUUUUAUAAACAUUUUUAUUAAAAAUUAUAUUAUUAUUAUUAAUGUGCUUUUUUGUCAUUUUUUUCUUUUUUUAUCUGCUCCUUUUUGAGAGAAAUAUAUUGAGAAUGG